AUUGAACGCUAGCGGGAUGCCUUACACAUGCAAGUCGAACGGAGUGGCGAACGGGUGUGUAAUGUAUCGGAACGUGCCCAGUAGCGGGGGAUAACUACGCGAAAGCGUAGCUAAUACCGCAUACUAUUGGAGCGGCCGAUAUCGGAUUAGCAAGCUGGUGGGGUAACGGCUCACCAAGGCGACGAUACGUAGCUGGUUUGAUCGGACGACCAGCCAAUGUGGGACUGAGACACGGCCCAGAAUCCUACGGGGGGCAGCAGUGGGGAAUUUUGGACAAUGGGGGAAACCCUGAUCCAGCCAUCCCGCGUGUGCGAUGAGGGCCUGCGGGUUGUAAAGCACUUUUGGUAGGAAAGCGGUACCUGCAGAAUAAGGACCGGCUAACUACGUACCAGCAGCCGCGGUAAUAC
rnacentral:rRNA from 1 species